UAGCGGAGGGUGCAAGCGUUGUUCGGAUUUAUUGGGCGUAAAGCGCGUGUAGGCGGUCUUCUAAGUCUGAUGUGAAAGCCCUGGGCUCAACCCAGGAAGUGCAUUGGAUACUGGAAGACUUGAAUACGGGAGAGGGUAGUGGAAUUCCUAGUGUAGGAGUGAAAUCCGUAGAUAUUAGGAGGAACACCGGUGGCGAAGGCGGCUACCUGGACCGAUAUUGACGCUGAGACGCGAAGCGUGGGGAGCAAACAGG
rnacentral:rRNA from 1 species